rnacentral:rRNA from 1 species
GAGUGAACGCUGGCGGUAGGCCUAACACAUGCAAGUCGAACGGCAGCACAGUAAGAGCUUGCUCUUACGGGUGGCGAGUGGCGGACGGGUGAGGAGUACAUCGGAAUCUACUUUUUCGUGGGGGAUAACGUAGGGAAACUUACGCUAAUACCGCAUACGACCUACGGGUGAAAGCAGGGGAUCUUCGGACCUUGCGCGAUUGAAUGAGCCGAUGUCGGAUUAGCUAGUUGGCGGGGUAAAGGCCCACCAAGGCGACGAUCCGUAGCUGGUCUGAGAGGAUGAUCAGCCACACUGGAACUGAGACACGGUCCAGACUCCUACGGGAGGCAGCAGUGGGGAAUAUUGGACAAUGGGCGCAAGCCUGAUCCAGCCAUACCGCGUGGGUGAAGAAGGCCUUCGGGUUGUAAAGCCCUUUUGUUGGGAAAGAAAAGCAGCAGGUUAAUACCCCGCUGUUCUGACGGUACCCAAAGAAUAAGCACCGGCUAACUUCGUG